rnacentral:rRNA from 1 species
GACGAACGCUGGCGGCGUGCUUAACACAUGCAAGUCGAACGGAAAGGCCCUGCUUUUGUGGGGUGCUCGAGUGGCGAACGGGUGAGUAACACGUGAGUAACCUGCCCUUGACUUUGGGAUAACUUCAGGAAACUGGGGCUAAUACCGGAUAGGAGCUCCUGCUGCAUGGUGGGGGUUGGAAAGUUUCGGCGGUCGGGGAUGGACUCGCGGCUUAUCAGCUUGUUGGUGGGGUAGUGGCUUACCAAGGCUUUGACGGGUAGCCGGCCUGAGAGGGUGACCGGCCACAUUGGGACUGAGAUACGGCCCAGACUCCUACGGGAGGCAGCAGUGGGGAAUAUUGCACAAUGGGCGGAAGCCUGAUGCAGCAACGCCGCGUGCGGGAUAACGGCCUUCGGGUUGUAAACCGCUUUAGCCUGUGACGAAGCGUGAGUGGCGGUACUGGGUAAAGAAGCACCGGCUAACUACGUG